rnacentral:misc_RNA from 1 species
UUGAUAAUAAAACCAAUUUCGAAUUUAGCAUCCUAAUUGACAAGUUUUAGGAUCACAUGGUGGUGCCAUUCACUGGUACUGUCAAUCAGAAAAUCAUUUUACAUCAAGUUGUAAUAGUAGAGUUGCAGAGGGAAUUUUCUCGGCAUAAUAAUCAAACUAAAUCCAAUGCCAAAUGCAAGUUUCAAUGGAGGAAAAGGAUAUGCAAUAUCGACAACAACUUUCAGGAUUUGACAUUAAUUAAAGAUUAUGCUUCUCUAGAAACCAGAACAAAUUCACAGAUUCCAUCCUCCUCAUCCUGCCUCUUUUCUUUCCUGAAAAAGCUUUUAUGCUUAAUCUCAAAACUCAGUCACUAGCAAGGGAUACCAACACCUCUCUAUAACCACACAUGUCACCAUGCUUGUGAGUUUUUUACUGGAUUCGACUUGUCCACAAAAAAUCACGCCUCAGGCUCAUCUUUUGCAUAGGUAAGCUACAAUGUCCCCAUGAUCGAUUAUAUUCCCAGUUCUUUU